rnacentral:rRNA from 1 species
AUUGAACGCUGGCGGCAGGCCUAACACAUGCAAGUCGAGCGAGAGUCGGACGGGUGAGUAAUGUAUGGGGACUGUCCGAGAGAGGGGGAUAACUCCUGGAAACGGUAGCUAAUACCCCAUACUAUCGGAUAGCGCCUAUGGGAUUAGCUAGUAGGUGAGGGAAUGGCUCACCUAGGCGACGCUCCCUAGCUGGUCUGAGAGGAUGAUCAGCCACACUGGGACUGAGACACGGCCCAGACUCCUACGGAGGCAGCAGUGGGGAAUAUUGCACAAUGGGCGCAAGCCUGAUGCAGCCAUGCCGCGUGUAUGAAGAAGGCCCUAGGGUUGUAAAGUACUUUCAGUCGGGAGGCGUUACCGACAGAAGAAGCACCGGCUAACUCCGUGCCAGCCGCCGCGGUAAUAC